AUCGGCGGAGCAGACGAGAGCAGACGCAGAUUUAGAUUCUCUCUCUACAUUAAGUUGUAUUGAACUGGAAAAUAAGAGAUUUUUUGAUUUAAUGUUGAAUUAUAUGUGUCUAAAGACAAUAUAGAAGGAAGUGAUGCUAGAAGAAACCGUUUAUGUGAGUUAAAUAUAGUUUAAUUAGUUAAUGAUCGUGACGGAGCUGAUUACAAGCAGCCUGGUUAAUGUGUAACUAGCUCCAUUAGGAGAUCGUCUGAAAGGAAACGCGAUUAAAGUUAAAUGCUGAAAAAGAGAAUAAGCAAAAGGAUUGAGUGAAGAAUUUCUUCGCAUUAAAAAGAUUAAAAGUUCAUCUGGUUUUGGUCAGGUUUUUUUUGUUGUUGUUUGUUUGUUUUAUUUUUCCUCCUUUACCUGGAUUGGUGCCAUCGUUGUGCUCCUGUGUGAUCUGUUGAUUUGAUGCUGGAUUGGGAUUGGAGCUUAUUGGAUUCUGGAUUCGUUCUAACUCCUGUGUUCGCUAAAGGGGUUGGGACUGGCGAGCCAUACGAACCGAACUUCAAAUUGUCAUUGUGUGAAACUGAUACUUGUUGCCGAUCAGGACGGUAGGAAACUGAACUACAAGCACACACAGUCGUUCAAUGAUUUCUUUUGGGAAAAGGAUUCACUCACAGAGGAGAAACUGAGUGACAGACAUUUCGUUGUUGCUCCUUGAGAUAUUUUAUAUUCACUAAAAAGGUGAAUAUACACAUACUGACUGUUUUUUGCAGGAAAAGAAAAGACUUUUAAGAAACUGAAUUUAUUGAAAGAAAAGAGGGAACUGUGAAGUGAUUACAAGUGAACUGUUUUAUAGGUUCGUUAUUUCAUUUAUUGUUGAUAUACCAAGUGGUAAUAGGUUUGGGUUUGUUUAUUAGUUUUUUUUUUAAACGCACAGAUUAGAGAAGUAGAAUACAUACACAAAAUUGAGAAAUUAAUUCAGAAAAUAACUUCUUUAAUAUUUUAUUUAAUCAAGAUUGAAUUCUUUACUUACAAGGGAAAUUUGUUUUACUGAUAAAGAGUGAAGUUUAUUAAUUUUUUUCUGAGAAAUUGAAAAGAGUUGAAAGUGAAACCUGUGAAAACAUAGGAUUAUUUUAGUUAUAUUACAUCAACAGUAUUGAGUAAAGGUGGUUAUACUUACCUAAAAUAUACUUACCUGUUGAGUAAGUUCUGGAUUUGAAACCUGAAAUCAAAAGAGAAACAUUUGUGAAACAUUAUUUUAUUAUUUGAUAUUGAAUAUUUUUGUACCUUGUGACAAUUUUAUUUUUGUUUCUUAUGAUUUAUUUGUUGAUAAAUUGAGAUUUAACACUUGAAUACAAGACAAUACAAUCAGUUAAAAACCU